rnacentral:rRNA from 1 species
AGGACGAACGCUGGCGGCGUGCUUAACACAUGCAAGUCGAGCGGAAAGGCCCUUCGGGGUACUCGAGCGGCGAACGGGUGAGUAACACGUGGGCAACCUGCCCUUAGCUCUGGGAUAGCUCCGGGAAACCGGAAUUAAUACCGGAUAUGACCUAGGCCGACAUCGGCCGUGGUGGAAAGUUUUUCGGCUAGGGAUGGACUCGCGGCCUACCAGCUAGUUGGUGGGGUAAUGGCCUACCAAGGCGACGACGGGUAGCCGGCCUGAGAGGGCGACCGGCCACACUGGGACUGAGACACGGCCCAGACUCCUACGGGAGGCAGCAGUGGGGAAUAUUGCGCAAUGGGCGGAAGCCUGACGCAGCGACGCCGCGUGCGGGAUGAAGGCCUUCGGGUUGUAAACCGCUUUCACCAGGGCGAAGCGAGAGUGACGGUACCUGGGGAAGAAGCGCCGGCUAACUACGUGCCAGCAGCCGC